rnacentral:tRNA from 1 species
UCGAAAUUGGGUUACGCUGCGGACUUAAAAUCCGUUGGCUUUUUAGACCGUGAGGGUUCAAGUCCCUCUACCCCCA